rnacentral:rRNA from 1 species
CCGCGGUAUCCUAACCGUGCAAAGGUAGCGUAAUCACUUGUCCCCUAAAUAGAGACCUGUAUGAAUGGCUAAAUGAGGACUAAACUGUCUCUUUUUAUUAAUCAGUAAAACUGAUCUACCAGUACAAAAGCUGGUAUUUUAUCAUAAGACGAGAAGACCCUGUGGAGCUUUAAAUUAAAGGCCAAAACAACAAAGCUUACCGAACUUAACUAAAUGGCCUAAAAUUUUAAGUUGGGGCGACUUCGGAACAAAACAAAACUUCCGAGCAUAAAGGAAAUUUUCCUCACCUAGACCAACAAGUCAAAGCAAAAAUCGACCCAGUACACACUGAUCACCGAACCAAGUUACCCCAGGGAUAACAGCGCAAUCUUCUUCAAGAGUCCAUAUCGACAAGAAGGUUUACGACCUCGAUGUUGGAUCAGGACACCCAAAUGGUGCAACAGCUAUUAAANG